AGGUUUUGCUCCCAGUUUGUCCCAGUUCCCAGCCAGGCAGUGGGAGGUUGGGAAUGCUCCUGGCUGGAAAAGGAGGAGGAGGAGGAGGAGGAAGAGGAGGAGGAGGCCUGCAGGGUUGCCAUGGCGAUUGAGCAUCUCCAAAUCCUCGGAUUAUUUAUCCCCGGGUUUGUUUAGGCUGAGGGAAAGCCUUGAGGGUGGGAAGAGGGUUGGGGUGUGAGGAAGAGGAGUGUGGGAGUCCAGGAAUUCUGAUCCUAGAGGAGAAAUCCUAAAAUUCCAGCCCUGGGGCUCAGCUCCACCUCUGGAGCAGCAAAAAACAGGGAAUUCAGGAUGGUUUAUGGGGAAUUUUCCCUCUCAGGGAUCCUGUGAUCCCAAAUCUGUCCUGGAUUUCCAAUGUGGGAUCUGGCCCAUGGAAUCCAGGCUUUGUUGGGAAUAAUUUGGGUGUGUGGAUGGAUUUGGAUCAGGCCCUGGUGCUGGAUGCUGGGAACGCUUUCCAAACCCGUUUCCCAAAUUCCAGAGGAGUUUGAUGGAGUGAUCCUCUGAUUUCUGGGAUUAAACAUCACCUCAUUCCCUUCCUGGAGCACUGGAGCAUCCCAGGCACUUCCAGCUGUUUCCAGCUGCAAAUCCCCUCGGGAAGAACCACCCUGUGUCCUGUCCCCUCUUUGGAGCUGUGCCAGGUUGGUGACAUUCCAGGAAUUCUUCCAGGAUGCUCCUUCCAGAUGUGUCCCUGCACAUCUGCUGCCACUCCCAAGGAAAACUGGGACAUUUUGGGGUGUCUGGAGCUGGAAUUUUGGGGUAAAACAGGAGAAAUCUACCGAGAGAGUUGAGAACAUCCCAGUGUUUGCCACGUCCCCCCUUCCCGCUCCCUCCUUUCCACGGGAUCUGUAAUUGCUCCUAAACCUCAUCUCCAAUUCCUUUUGAUGCCUCCAGUGUCCCCGUUAUGUAAAUCCCAGCGUGGGAAUGCCGUGGAUUUUAUGGAUGAGGAGUUUGUGCAGCUGAGGGGACACCUUGGAUCGUCACACAUCAAAGGGCGAGGGAAAAUGACUCCGGGAAAUCGGGAGCCCUGUGGAAAAAUCGAUUCCGUUUGAUUUUGCCAACAGAGGGAUUUUUGGGAAGGCCAAGGAGCAUCCUCAGGGAAUGAGGGUCCCACCGGAGCUGUCACCCAUUGGGCAGGAGGAGGAAUGAGGAUUUUUCCUGGCUGUGGAUGCUGAAGGAGUCUUGGAUGAAGAAAAUCUUCCCAAAAUCAUGGAAUGGUUUGGAAGGGAGGUCAUUGAGCCCCUGAGCAGGGACAUCUCCUGCUAAACCUUAUCCCAGCACCAGGAGGAUGAUAUUCCAUGGAAAACAGCACAGCCAACACUCCCACAGCUCCAAAAAUCCAGGAAGAAACUGAAAUUUGGCAAAAACAAAAAACCGUGGAGAAGCAGCCUUUCUUGGGGAGGGGAGGAGAAAGCUGGGAAUGUUUUCCAAGAACCCCCGUGCUCCAGCACGGGGAGGACAAUGACAAACGAGGUGAACUCGGAGGCUGCGGAGAAAAUCUUGGCAGCGGGCGGAAAACGCGCUGCCAGAUUCCGGGGAAUUUUAACUGGCAUUUAAUUAGCGGCACUCAGGUGGUCACAGGAGCGGUGGCAGUGCCGCAGUUCCUGGCAUUUGUUAAUUAAAGCUGCUCCUGACAGGGA